UAUUCUGCCACAUGGGGAAGGAUGAGAAGCUUCGACUAAGGUUCGACUCGAGCGAAGCGAGAGAACGUUGCCGCAGGCAACG
rnacentral:sRNA from 1 species